rnacentral:rRNA from 1 species
GGCCCCUCGGAAAAAUGUGUGGGUCUGACCUGCCCAGUGACUUAAUUGUUAAACGGCCGCGGUACCCUGACCGUGCAAAGGUAGCAUAAUAAUUUGCUUUUUAAUUGGGGGCUAGAAUGAAUGGUUUGACGAAAAUUGAGCUGUCUCCCUAAAAAUAUUGAGAAUUUAACUUUUAGGUGAAGAGGCCUAAAUUUUUUUGAGGGACAAGAAGACCCUAUUGAGCUUUAGUUAUCUUUAAGAUUUUAGUGAUUAAUACAUUUUCUUAGGGAAAUCUUUAGUUGGGGCGACUUAGAAACAUGUAAAGCUUUCUAUAAUUUAGAAUUGAUAGGCAUAUGAAUGACCCAAUAGUAGUGGUUAUAGGAAAAAGUUACCAUAGGGAUAACAGCGUAAUCUUCUUGGAGAGUUCUUAUCAAAAAGUUGGUUUGCGACCUCGAUGUUGGACUAAGAUAUCCUAAAGGUGUAGGUGCUUUUGAGGGUUGGUC